GCUACGGGUGGCAGCAGUAGGGAAUCUUCCACAAUGGGCGAAAGCCUGAUGGAGCAACGCCGCGUGGGUGAAGAAGGUCUUCGGAUCGUAAAACCCUGUUGUUAGAGAAGAAAGUGCGUGAGAGUAACUGUUCACGUUUCGACGGUAUCUAACCAGAAAGCCACGGAUAACUACGUGCCAGCAGCCGCGGUAAUACGUAGGUGAAAAGCGUUAUCCGGAUUUAUUGGGCGUAAAGGGAACGGAGACGGUCUUUUAAGUCUGAUGUUAAAGUCUUCGGCUUAACCGGAGUAGUGCAUUGGAUACUGGCAGCCUUGAGUGCAGAAGAGGUGGGCGGAACU
rnacentral:rRNA from 1 species